GGUGAACGCUGGCGGCGUGCUUAAGACAUGCAAGUCGAACGGCAGUCUUCGGACUGUAGUGGCGCACGGGUGAGUAACGCGUACCGACCUACCCCGAAGUCGCGGAUAACGAUUCGAAAGAAUCGCUAAUACGUGAUGUGCUGUCAGAUUGUGUUCUGCCAGUAAAGAUUGAUUGCUUUGGGAUGGGGUUGCGUUCCAUCAGCUAGUUGGUGGGGUAAAGGCCCACCAAGGCGACGACGGAUAGCCGGCCUGAGAGGGUGGCCGGCCACAGGGGCACUGAGACACGGGUCCCACUCCUACGGGAGGCAGCAGUUAGGAAUCUUCCACAAUGGGCGAAAGCCUGAUGGAGCGACGCCGCGUGAGGGAUGAAGGUCUUCGGAUCGUAAACCUCUGAAUCAGGGACGAAAGACACUUCGGUGGGAUGACGGUACCUGAGUAAUAGCACCGGCUAACUCUGUGCCAGCAGCCGCAGUAACAC
rnacentral:rRNA from 1 species